rnacentral:rRNA from 1 species
GAUUAUGGCUCAGAUUGAACGCUGGCGGCAGGCCUAACACAUGCAAGUCGAGCGGUAGAGAGAAGCUUGCUUCUCUUGAGAGCGGCGAACGGGUGAGUAAUGCCUAGGAAUCUGCCGAUUAAUGGGGGAUAACGUUCCGAAAGGAACGCUAAUACCGCAUACGCCCUACGGGGGAAAGCAGGGGAUCUUCGGACCUUGCGUUAAUUGAUGAGCCUAGGUCGGAUUAGCUAGUUGGUGGGGUAACGGCUCACCAAGGCGACGAUCGGUAGGGGGUGUGAGAGCAUGACCCCCCACACGGGUACUGAGACACGGACCCGACUCCUACGGGAGGCAGCAGUAAGGAAUAUUGGACAAUGGAGGGAACUCUGAUCCAGCCAUGCCGCGUGAAGGAUGAAGGCGCUCAGCGUUGUAAACUUCUUUUGGAUGGGAACAAUAACUUCUACGUGUAGGAGCUUGAGGGUACCAUCAGAAUAAGCACCGGCUAACUCCGUG